rnacentral:rRNA from 1 species
CCCUUAGAUGUUCUGGGCUGCACGCGCGCUACACUGAUGCGCUCAACGAGUUUUAACCUUGCCUGGAAAGGUUGGGUAAUCUUUUUAAAACGCAUCGUGAUGGGGAUAGAUUAUUGCAAUUAUUAAUCUUCAACGAGGAAUUCCUAGUAAGCGCGAGUCAUCAGCUCGUGCUGAUUACGUCCCUGCCCUUUGUACACACCGCCCGUCGCUGCCCGGAACUGAGCCGUUUCGAGAAGACUGAGGAUUGCUGACUUGAGGCCUUCACGGGCUUCUAGUCGGUGAAAAUCAAUUUAAUCGCAGCGGCUUGAACCGGGCAAAAGUCGUAACA